GAGGGGAAUGAGAAGUGACCACCUAAUGGGGACAGGGUUUCCUUUUUAGGUGAUGAAAAUGUUCUGGAACUAGACAGAGGUGUUGGGUGCACAGUGGUGU